CCUACGGGAGGCAGCAGUAGGGAAUCUUUCACAAUGGGCGAAAGCCUGAUGGAGCAACGCCGCGUGCAGGAUGAAGGCCUUCGGGUUGUAAACUGCUUUUAUAAGCGAGAAAUAUGAUGGUAACUUAUGAAUAAGGAUCGGCUAACUACGUGCCAGCAGCCGCGGUCAUACGUAGGAUCCGAGCAUUAUCCGGAGUGACUGGGUGUAAAGAGUUGCGUAGGUGGCAUAAUAAGUAGCUAGUGAAAUCUGGUGGCUCAACCAUUCAGACUAUUAGCUAAACUGUUAAGCUCGAGACCGUUAGGGGGAAGGGGAAUUGCGAGUGUAGGGGUGAAAUCCGGAGAUAUAGGAAGGAACACCAAUAGCGUAGGCAGGUUGCUGGGACGGUUCUGACACUAAGGCACGAAAGCGUAGGGAGCAAACGGGAUUAGAUACCCGAGUAGUC
rnacentral:rRNA from 1 species